AGAAGGUUUCCCUUCCGAGACUUCCCGGGGAGAAAAGAAAGACUCCUUUGUACAAACUCCUUACUUCAGGGUGUAGUUGCGGUAAGAACUAUUUACAGGAAAGGAAGGAAAAGAAAGGCCAUUAGGAGAAUAUUUGUGGAGGCGAAGUGGGAAGGAGCGGCCAAAUGCAGGAGGAGGAAGGAUCCUGCAAAACGUAAAAUUGGCGGGGUCCACAAUUCCGUUGUUUUCUUCAGAGGAAGCUGCGAGGAGGAUUCGUUAUUGCGGUGGGGCCCACGGUUUUGUAAAUUGAUGCCAAUGGUUUUGAUGCACGUCAGGGGAGGCUUAAUUAAUUGAAGUAGGGGCCACGUGAAUAAUCCGUCAUUUAUUUUCUCCGUGAGUGGGAAGUUUUGCAGAAAUUUUGUGGUGUCCUGUGGUUGUCGUUUAGCAGUCACGAGUCACCAUUGUAGGAUGUUUCUUGAAUACCUUGGUUUUUGGUUGGUAUUAGAACUAUCUAGAAACCAAAUUUCAUGAUUUUUUGA